AUUGAACGCUGGCGGCAUGCCUUACACAUGCAAGUCGAACGGUAACAGGUCUUCGGAUGCUGACGAGUGGCGAACGGGUGAGUAAUACAUCGGAACGUGCCUAGUAGUGGGGGAUAACUACUCGAAAGAGUGGCUAAUACCGCAUGAGAUCUACGGAUGAAAGCAGAGGAUCGCAAGACCUUGUGCUACUAGAGCGGCCGAUGGCAGAUUAGGUAGUUGGUGGGAUAAAAGCUUACCAAGCCGACGAUCUGUAGCUGGUCUGAGAGAACGAUCUGCCACGCUGGGAGUGAGACACGGCCAAGACUCCUACGGGAAGCAGCAGUGGGGAAUUUUGGACAAUGGGCGCAAGCCUGAUCCAGCAAUGCCGCGUGCAGGAUGAAGGCCUUCGGGUUGUAAACUGCUUUUGUACGGAACGAAAAGCCCUGGGUUAAUACCCUGGGGUCAUGACGGUACCGUAAGAAUAAGCACCGGCUAACUACGUGCCAGCCGCCGCGGUAAGAC
rnacentral:rRNA from 1 species